GCCUGUGUGGAGAAAUUGGUAAACUCGGUAGACUCAAAAUCUACUGCUUUCGGGCUUGGCGGUUCGAGUCCGCCCACAGGUACCA
rnacentral:tRNA from 1 species